GAUGAACGCUGGCGGCGUGCCUAAUACAUGCAAGUCGAGCGAACAGAUGAGGAGCUUGCUCCUCUGACGUUAGCGGCGGACGGGUGAGUAACACGUGGAUAACCUACCUAUAAGACUGGGAUAACUUCGGGAAACCGGAGCUAAUACCGGAUAAUAUAUUCAACCGCAUGGUUCAAUAGUGAAAGACGGUUUUGCUGUCACUUAUACAUGGAUCCUCGCCGCCUUAGCUAGUUGGUCAGGUAACGGCUUACCAAGGCAACGAUGCGUAGCCGACCUGAGAGGGUGGUCGGCCACUGUGGAAGUGGGACGGGGUCCAGUCCACUACGGGAGGCAGCAGUUGGGAAUCUGCGGCAUUGGGCGAGAGCCUGACGGUGCAACGGCGCGUAAGUGAUGAAGGUCUUCGGAGCGGAAAACGCUGUUAUUGGGGAAGAACGAAUGUUUAAGUAUCGAUGCACGUCUUGACGGUACCUGGUCAGAAAGCCAAGGCUAACUACGUG
rnacentral:rRNA from 1 species